rnacentral:lncRNA from 1 species
UAAUCACUCUUUUAAUCAUUCUAUACACCUCGUUGUCAGUUUCAAGAAAUUUGCUUAGAAAAUACACAAGCAAGAAGAAGAGGGGAGCACCAGAAGCUGGGGGAGCAUGGCCUGUGAUUGGCCAUCUACACCUCUUAGGAGGGCCAGAACCUCCUCACAGGGUGUUGGGCUGCAUGGCUGACAAGUAUGGACCAAUCUUCACAAUCAAGAUGGGCAUAAAUCGAGCAUUAGUUGUGAGUAAUUGGGAGAUGGCUAAAGAGUGUCUUACUACACACGACAAAGUCUUUGCCAGCCGUCCAAAAACUCUAGCCAUGGAGAUUUUAGGCUACAAUUUUUCCAUGUUUGGGUUUAGCCCAUACGGCUCUUACUGGCGAGAGACACGCAAGAUAGCCACACUUGAGCUUCUCUCGAACCAUCGGCUUGAGAAGCUCAAGCAGGUACGAGAGUACGAGUUGAAGACUUGUUUGAAGGAGUUAUACCAGUUAUGGGACAACAACAAAAGCACUAAUAAGAUGUUGUUGGUAGAGAUGAAGAGAUGGCUUGCAGACAGCAUCCGUAAUGUGGUUUUAAGAAUCAUUGUAGGAAAGGGAUGCAAUUCAAUGGAUAGUGAAGAAUGGAAAGAACUAUUAACGAGAUUUUUUGAAAUGAGUGGUAAGUUUGUGGUGUCAGAUGCAUUGCCGUUUUUGAGAUGGUUGGAUAUAGGGGGUGAUGAGAGGUCAAUGAAGAAGAUUGCCAAAGAAUUAGACGUUGUUGUUCAAGGAUGGUUAGAAGAGCACAAGAUGAAGAGAGAUUCUCAGGAAAUGAAUCAAGAAGAAGAAGAUUUUAUGUAUGUGAUGCUUUCGAUUUUAGGAGAUACAGAGCAAUAUUAUGGUCGUGAUGUUGAUACAAUCAAUAAAGCUAUUUGCCUGGUAUGCCUCUCUUAACCGAAAAUUUUCUUUUAGGUUUAGUCUAUGGGCGACUCAAUCCCCUCUAGAGUUUGAAAAAUCAAGACCUCUUCUUUUUAUUUUAUUCUUUUAUUUAUAUUAACCGCACAUUAAUGAGGCUCAAACUCAGGUCUUAAGUUGUACGAAGGUUGUUCCUUAUCAAUGAAAUAAGACUUUGCUCGGACUUCUUCUUUUCACUCAAGAGAUCUAAACAAAAGAACUAGUGGUAUCAAUCUCUUAAUUGAAUAUUAUAUACUUUUAAACGAUUUUACACUUAUAAUCAUUCAGAUAGUUGUUUACAUCAUUCUUGAAGAUGAGAUUUCUAAAUGAAAGCAAUUAAAUCUGCAAGUUGUGAAUUGAAAAUAUUUAUUAUUCUGUUGUCUCCCAAUCAGUCGAUCGGGUAAAAUGGUGAACCAAAAGUCAAGGAAAUCGUCAUCUGUUCAUUAUUGCAUUAGUCAAUUGGGACCUACAUUUUAGGAUAAGUUUUUGAUAAUAUGUUGGUGGAUUUGAUCUGUCAGUAAAAGCCAAAAGAUACCCAAAAAAAUUGAGUCUUUAAUGGAUUUUUUUUCUUAUCGUCUUUAAUGGAAUUUAAUUAAGUUGCAUUGUGGACAAGUGCAAUAUGCAUAUACAUGAAAGCAUAACAAUGUUGUAUACACUACCAAUUUUGCAGGGUCUCAUCUUAGCAGCAACGGACACCACAGCUGUUACAUUGACAUGGAUUAUCUCCCUGCUUCUCAAUCAUCAUGAUAUUCUAAACAAGGCUCGAAAUGAACUAGAUAUUCAGGUGGGCACAAAAAGGCAAGUGAAUGAAUCAGAUAUAAAAAAAUUAGUUUACUUACAAGCCAUUCUUAAAGAAGCAAUGCGUUUAUAUCCUGCUGCGCCACUCUUAAUUCCACACGAGUCUAUAGAAGAGUGCACAGUAAGUGGUUACAAUGUUCCCAGCGGCACACAACUUUUUAUCAACGUUUGGAAGCUUCAACGUGAUCCCCAUGUCUGGGAAGAGCCUUGUAAGUUUCAGCCAGAAAGAUUUUUGACAAGGCACAAGGAUACUGAUGUCAGGGGACAAAAUUUUGAAUUGUUACCUUUUAGUAGUGGCAGAAGAAUGUGUCCUGGAGUUUCAUUCGCCCUCCAAGUUAUGCAAUUUACACUUGCUUCUUUACUUCAUGGCUUUGAUAUUGCAACCCCAUCAAAUGAACCAUUGGACAUGGGGGAGGGAUUAGGGUUGACCGUAGAGAAAUCUACACCACUUGAAGUACUUGUCGCUCCACGUCUUUCUGCUUCUUUGUACGGCUAAAUUGAUUCUCGAUGUAAUAUAUCUAAUAAACUUUUAUGGCAAGUAUUGGUGUGUUUUUUUCUUGUUUACUCUUACCCAUUAGGCCUUUUCUAGUUGAAUAUAAAUGUUCGAAUUAUCAUUAGUCAUAAAUUUCUAGUAUUAAACGAACUUUUAUCACGACUAAGCUCUGAAUCCAUCAUGACUAAGCUGUGAAUCCAAUACCAUUUUGCAAAGACGCAAAAUGCCGAAAAUGCUAUAAAGCUAGCUUUCCUUGUUUGCAGAAAUCAGAAUAGUUUUCUUGAGUGCAAUAUUGUACGUCCUAGUGGAGGCUUCUUUCCUCUGAUCUUGCCACUCAGGUUACAGGUAACGCUGCUUAAUGUUAUCACAAGUUCAAGAAAACAAAUGAGAAUAAAAACUCUUAAGAGAAAAGUUUCUUCUUCAUUUUGGAUAUUUUUCUUCUAUUAACUCUUCCCGUAUCUGUUGUAAUCAGAGGCGGAUCUUGGUCAUUCAUCAAAAAAACAAAAGAAAAAAAAGUCUUCGGAUAAGAUCAAAACCACUGAUACGGUGCUGUUGGUAGAGAUGAGGAGAUGGUUUACAGACACCACACGUAAUGAAGUUUUAAGAAUGACUGUAGGAAGGAUGUCAAUUCAGUGGAUAGGAAGAAUGGAAAGAGUAAACCAUCUCUUUAAGUGGGUUCCAACUCCUAACCUAUUUUAUUAGUUGAACUAAUUGGUACUCAUCACGUGUCGGAAUGUUAUUGAUGAUGAUGAUGAUGAUGAUGAUGAUGAUGAUGAGGAUGAGAUUUUCAAACGUGGGCAGCUGAAUCUGUAACUUGUGAAUUGAUGCGAAUAUUUAAUUAUUCUGUUUCUAUUCAUGCAGCUAAUCGGUUUAAUAAAUAUUUAUGACUAGUAAAGCGUAAGGCUCGCUAUGUCCCUUUGUGGGUAAUAGAAUUUCAUUUAUUUUUAUUAAUGAAGCUCUCUCCACCGUCAAGGUCAUUUAUCAAAAUAAUAAUAAUAAUUAUUAUUAUUAUUAUUCUGUAUUUUCCCAAUCGGUUAAUAAGGGAAAUUUUCAUUUUUAUCAUACAAUUUAGUCCAGUCGAUCGAUUUUUAUUCAAUUGCGGGGUUCAGAAUUCAUUUGUUUGCGCACACUAACAAUUUUGCAGGGUCUCAUCUUAGUUACAACCGACACCAUAACAAUAAAAUUCACAUGGGUUUUCUCUUUGUUUCCCAACCACCAUAAUAUUUUAAAAAGGGCUCAAAAUGAACUAGAUAUUCAGCUGGGAAAAAAAGGAUAUGUGAAUGAAACAUACAUAAAAAAUUUAGUGUAUACACUAACAGGCCAUUCUCAAAGAAGCAAUGGGUCUAUAUCCUGCUGUGCCACUCUUAAUUCCGCAUGAAUCUAUAGUAAGCUGUGCCUAAUUUUGAAAAUCAAACCUUACUGGAGUGCUCAAACUAGAAUCUGUUGAUACGAUAAUUUAAUAAUUUAAAAAAAAAUUAAAGUCCCAUCUCAAAAAAAAAAUAGAAGCGCGGGCCCCGCAAUAUCACUUUCAACCAACAUUGGAAAGAGAUCUUGUUUAUCUUUUGUUUGUAUAAUAUCUACUGAUUUGCAAAAGAGAUGAUAGCAAAUGGCUCUAAAGUUCCUGGAAUGUCAAAUAUCUUUACCGUAUUUUAUAAUAGAAAAGAUGCCUUUGGGGUCAAACUUGCCGGCCGAAACCAAUGCCAUAUUCAUUUCUUACGUUUGAAUGUUUGAUCCUUGAUCAAUAAAUUAAGCAAAUCUUAUCCGGUCCCACAUCAAAUCAAUAAGUGCCAAACAAUAAUAAUAAUAAAUAAAACUAGCGGCUGCCCACUAUAUCAACAAAGGACCUGUCUAUGGUACAGAUUCUGUAACAAACAUCUCCCGUCAUCCCACCAUCCGAUUUUCUAUUGUUUAGUUUCUCACUCCACAUCCAACCACAUCCAACGGCUGAUGCUGCAGUCUGUACCUUACAGAUUCUGUAAGCUAGUCGAGUCCAUCAACAAAAGUUGAAUGUUCGGGCUGGUUGAUUCUUUGCAGUUGUAAAGGCUUAUUUUCCCCCACGUACUUAAGUAGGGUACACUUUUAUUAGAGAGUAGAUAUGUCCCUUGCUUGAAUAUUGGUAGAGUUCGAAAUAUAGAUUCUCAAUAAAUUUCUACUGCAUACAUCAGCUAGGGUAGAUAUGUCCCUCCGCAAAUAUUGAUGUAGGUAGAAAUCUGUAUUGCAUAAUAAUAAAAUUUAGGAUAUAUUUUGGAUUGCAUUAGCUUCCCAAAACAAUCUAUUUUAGGAUAAAUUUUGAAACAAUCAAUUUUAUAAAUAAUUUAGUUACAUGUUUGGUAACCUUAGAUUAUAAUAUAAUUACUUAUUAUAUGAUUUAACAUGCAUUUUUGGUAAAUUAAUAAAAAAAAUGUUGAAAUAACAAAAAUAGACAUUAUUUAUAUUUUGGUUAUAUAGAAGGAUUGAGCUACGGUUCAACGGGUGCCCCAUACCCCUUCUUUUUGUCUUUUUUGGUUGCACCCCCAAAUCUCUUCUUUAUUUACAGUUUAUUAAAAUAAUAUGUUUUUCCUCUUUAUUCAACCCCUCACCUACGCAUUCUUCUGGAUUUUUUUUUCCAUUUUCAAUUAAACUUGUAAUCAACCAAUUGCAAUCAAUAAAAGAAACUUGACAUUCUCAUUGAAGCUACUUCCUUAUUGCCUUAAGAUUCAUUUGCUCUAUAUCACAUAAGUAAUAAUGAAUUAAACUUUUAUACAAAAAAAAAUCACAUAGUUAUAUUUUUGUACCCAUAAUCUAUUCAUUAUACAAUGAAAUUCAGGUCUAAUAAAUUUGAAAAUUUUCAUAUUUUAUUACGUGUCUUCUUCCCUUCUUCUCCUCCACGUGUCUCUCAAUUUUCUCCUUAAAUAAUCUAACUCUAGGGCUUUCUAAUGAUUGGAUAACUAUUAUAAUAAUUUUUUUUUUCAGUAAAACUCCUCUUAUUAGGUUAAUGAGUUUGUUUUCUUAAGUAAAAAGAAUAUUUUAGCAAAUGAUCAAAAGUGAGAGUUUUAACAAAAAUUCAAAGUUUGUCUUAGUUUUCAUUGUCUUUGACGCAUCUGGCAUGUUUGAUUUCUUGAUUAUAACUUGCAAAAGUGGGUAAUAUAACACAAUGAUGAUGAUUAGUGAUUCGGAGAGAAUUUGAGAGAAAAAGAUAUUGGCACAAAAUUUUGUGAACUUUAACUUUUCUAAUUUUUCAGCAAAUAUUAGGGAUUGCAUUGUUAAUAAACAAACAACACAUCCCUGCCCUUGAAACUCCUUUUGUGUCAAAUCCAAUCGUGGCAGCAAAAAAAAGACAAAAAGAGGAGUAUGGUGUACCCGUUCCACCAUAGCUAUAUAGAAAUCAAAUAAAAUUAAUUUUAAAGCAUAUUAUUUAAUAAACAAAAAAUUUUAAUUUUUCUCAACUUUCCAUUUAUAUUUUCUAUUAAUCAUUAACAGUCAAUGCCAAUUCAUUAAUAAGAACUUUUAACUUUAUGUUAUCUUUCUAAAAAAAUCAUUAGUCAAUAUCAAAUGCUAAGUAAUAAGAAAAAUACUUAAUAACAAGAAAUAAAUGAAUGGAGGUUGAAAUUUCGUUAGUUGGAAACUGUGCCAUUGUCAUUGACAAAGAUGGAAAAUAGGGUAGGCAAAAUCUGGAUCCGGGUCCGGAUGUAGGUACAUCUGCAUCCGAAUUUGAAUCCGGAUGUAAAUUUUUAAAACUGAAUUUGCAUCUGGAUUCGCAAAAAAAGAUGCGGAUCGGAUGCAAGUAAUAUCCGCAAUGAAUGCGGGCGGAUAUUCCGGAUAUCCAGAUCUGCAAAAAUUAAAAUUUAAUAAUUUAAUAAUUUAAUAAAUAAUUUAAAAAUUCAAUAAUUUACCUAAUAAUAUCAAAUAAAAUCCAAUCAUAAUUCAACAAAUACUAAUUCAACAUGAAUAACGUACAAUAUAAAAUUCAAUCAUAAUCCAAAAUUAAUAAUUCAACAUGAAUAAGAUACAACAAAAUCAUAAAUCCACAAAUAAAUUUUAAUUUUUAAUAUAUAUAUUUAAUUUAAAUUUUAAUUGAAAAAUAAAAUUCAAUAAUUUACCUAAUAAUAUCAAAUAAAAUUCAAUAAUGAUCCAACAAUUAAUAAGUCAACAUGAAUAGUAUAGAACAACAUCAUAAAUCCACAAAUAAAAUUUAUUUUUGGAAAAUUAUCAUUGCACCGCCUUUUGUUUGCCUUAUGUUCAUCCAACCACCACAAAAUUCUAACAUGCUUUCUGCACCACAUUUCUUUUAAAAUUUGUAUCAAUUACCCACUUUUGCACUAACACCGUUAAAUAAUUUAAACGAAAUGAUAAUUUGACCCCUAAAUAAAUUAAGAUAUCAUUUUAUCUUGUAAAAAUUUUAAAAAUAAAAAAAUUAUAAUUAUAAAAAUACCUCUACAUUUAAUAAAGAAAUAAAUCCAAAAAUUAGAAUUUUUAUUUUUAAUAAAAAUUAUUUUAAAAAAAUUAUAAUUAUUCAAAUAAUUACAAAAUUUUGGGAUUUAAUAAAAAUCCCUUAAAUUAUUAAAAUUUGGGAUUUUUUUUAAUAAAUAAAUUCAGUUAUUUUAAUAACAUUUUACAAAAUUAUAAUUUUUAAUAAAUAAAUUCAGUUAUUUUUUAUUAAAAUUUUGUAAAAUUAUAAAUUUUUAAUAAAAAUAAUGAUUAAAAUUUUGCAAAAUCUAAAUUUAAUAAAAAUCAGCUAAGCACAUCUAUUUUGGAUUUAUUUUUUUAAAUUUAGGGGUAUUUUUAUAAUUAUAAUUUCUUUUAUUUUUCAAAACUUUAUAAGAUAAAAUUAUCUUUUAAUUAUUUAGGGGUAAAAUUGUUAUUUCGUUUAAAUCAUUUAAUGGGGUUAGUGCAAAAAUGACUAAUUGAUAUAAAUUUAAAAAGAAAUGUGGUGUAGAGAACAUGUUAGAAUUUUGUAGUGGUUGGAUAAACAUAAAACAAAAGAAAGGUGGUGUAAUGAUAAUUUUCUUUUAUUUUUUAAUUUUUCAUGUAAUUUUUAAUAUAUAUUUUUAAUUUAAUUUUUAAUCUAAAAUAAAAUUUAUCCGGAUCCGAAUAUCUAGUUUUCCAAAUGCACUAACAUCCGGAUCCUAAAUUUCCAUAUCUGGAUCCACAUUUUUUAAUAUGCGAAUCUGGAUGUAUUUAACAUCCCUAAUGGAAAAGUUUCCCUUCAUCGUUAGACUCAAAAUUUCACAUUCUAAGCAACCAUAUCCAUAUUAUCGGCUAAACAAAUUUGCUGGUGGUGGAAAGGCCUCCUAAAUAAGCUGGCUGUUAAAAUCAGGUGUUUUUUGCUUCACCGCCAACAUGAACAUUAUUUAAAAAAUUGUUGUAUCUGUUGGAGAUGGCAAUUCAUGUCACCUCACCUCGGUUAGACGACGGUGCUAUAUUGUCGUCACAUUUGAGCGGCAUUUAUGCCACCACUGGAUUAUUUUCUCUACAAAGACCGAUACCAUCAUGUAGAUCAUGAAGCUUCAAGUCCACUGGUACCAGAUUUACCAUCGAAGGACAACUUUCUCGCUGAUGACAAAUUGUUGGCACUAUAUGCCCGCAAUUAUUUUUUAUUUCAAAAUUUAAUUUAUAACAUUUAAAUAUUAAUUAAUUAUUGUGUAAGGGUAUUUUUGGUAAACAAAUGUUUGUGAAGGACAAUUUCGAUAUUGUACCUUACAAAUUGAUUUUGAAAUAAUCGGGUUUGGAAAAGCUACUCUUAAGUUUCUUUUAGAAAUCAAUCUAAGGUCAAGGAAAGUAGAACUACUGAAAUGCACUUUCUUCCUUCUCGGUUUUCUCUGAAAACUUAAAUUGAAAGCCAAAUAGAGUUGUCUAUGACUCUUUCUUACUACCCACCAAUUGGGUCUCUUAAAACCUUUUCUAAUUCACCUUAUCUUUUCUUUGUUUCUUUCUUUAAUCCUUGUUAUUAUCAAUAUUAUUUUCAGUAGCUCAAAAUCAGUCCAAAGUCAGAGAAGUAGUUGGUGAAAUAAAGUCAACAGUAAUUAAGAAGAGUCCUACAACAUAGCUAUGGACACUGAAGAAUUAAUUUGGUGGUGCAAAGCAAUUACUUUAUCAGGGGAGGGAGAAGACAGAGUAGGGAGAAGACAGAGUAUCCUUACGAAGUAAAAUGAGAGCUGUUGUUGUUUAAAUUUUAUUAAACUCGCAAGUGCACGAAUCUAUUGUAAAAUAGAUUCAUGGUGACGAGUGUCGAUCCUACGAGGAGAUGUAUUUUAAUUAUAUGUAGAGUUAAUUUUCUAUGAGGAUGGUUGGAUUUGUGGUGAAAGUAAAUUAGAUUAUCCUAAAAUUUGAACUAAAAUGGCGAGAAUAAAAUGAAGCGAAAUCUAUUGAAAUGACGUACUUGCGUAUCUGGAUCUGCAUCAAUAUGCACCAUGGGCUAAAUAUUCCUUAUUAAUGUCAAUUAAAUCAUGAAGGGGGAUUCCACUCCUCAUGAACCACACUCUAAUCAAUAUAGUGCUAAAGGCUUAUCGUGUCAAAUAAUAAUAACCUUGUACUAGGGAGCCGGUGACACCAUGGCUGUAUCUAGAUAAGAUUAUUACUAUUUGUCAACGAAAAAUCAAAACAUCCACAAUAAUUAGAGGGGAAGAGAAAGUAAAUUUACCAAAUAAAACUCAUGACACAUGUUGAGACUGCACCUUCAACCAAAGCUUGAAAGAAAAUUAGCUACUCAUAAUUAAACUAGGGGCAAAAUGAGAAUUUAAUAAAAUACAUAGAAAAUACAAGAUGGAGAAGGAAUUAUAGAAAAUUGAACUCAAACAUGAAUUUAGGGAUGCCAAAUUAGUGGGGGAAGACCCCCUUUUUAUAGAUACAUUGAGUAAAUCAUGGCCAUCAGAUUAAAAAUAUUUUGGACGCUCAGAAUUGCGCCACGUCAUCAGUCAAAAGUACGCGGUUUGACCACGCGGUUUGAAUAGUGAUACGGAUUGACCACGCGGUUUGAACAGUCAUGUGGCUUGAACAAUGACGCGGUUUGGUUGUAAAUAAUCCCAUGUAUAUGUAUGUACCGUACGCGCGAUUUUUAGUCCACUAACAUGUUGCCACGUCACCGAUCAACAAUACAUAAGAAUUUUAUUCCAAUAGAAUCAUGACACCUCAUCAGUCAAUGCCACAUCAUCGGUCAAUGUCACAUCAUCGAUCAGUCUAUGUGAAUAGUGUCGUGAACAGUAACGUAGACACUACCGUACAUGUGAACAUUGUCAUUUUUCCUUUUAUACUCCUCCUAAGGUUUUCAACUGUCAUGAGUUCAAAAUUUAUGUCUGUUUUGCUGUCUGAACUCUGGUUCAUUGUAAAAUGACCAUGAUGUCCCUAAAAUAGAUAAAAUACUUAAUUAAAAUAAAACACACAUAAUUAAAUUACGAGAGACUAAAACACAUAAAAGUAUAAAUGUUAGUAAAACUUGAAAUGUAAAAUGAUGAUUUUCUCCUUUAUAAAUAUACACUUUCUAACACUCAACACACCCCCAAACUAGCUUAUUGCUAGUCCCUAGCAAAUAAAGCGAAAACAAAAUUCAAAACCAAAAUGAAUUUUUUUUAAAAAUAAUUGUGCUUAUUCAAUCAGACUAAUGAUAGUAAUCAAAUAAAAGUAUAAGCAUUAUUUUCAGUCUAAAGAAACAUCACACCCACAUCAAUCAUUCACAUGAAUUAGCCUAGUAGACUUUGUCACAGCUACUUUCAAGAAUGACAAGUCAAACCCCAAAAUCUCACUAGAAGUAGUGACACUCUCACAAGGAAAUUAAACCCAAUAAAAAUAGUUACUCCAAUGAAUGGUAAUUGAGAGAAAAUAAUAAAGAAGUAAUAUCACAUGCUCUCACCAAGAUGAAAGAAAUAUGCCCUCAGCUUAGAAAUAAUACGAUCUCAAGUAAAAAAUAAUAAUAAUGCUAGUCAACCCAAUUUAUUUAUUUAUUUCUUUUUUUUUAUGCACCACUACAUCUUUUUAGCCCAUAUAUAUAGUUUUUACUUCAAACUAUAGCUCUCUAAAAUCAGGAAGGACUUUUAUUAGGAUGUAACGUAGGUUAGGGACAUUGCUAACAAAGGAGGGUAAAUAAGGAAAACAACAUAUAUGUUUGAGAAAAAGUAGAGAUCUUUUGGAAAUUACAAGGUGGAUUUCACCUAUUAUUAUUAUUUUUUUCUUUUUUUUAAACAACAAUUUUUUUGUUUGGCACAACUUCACUGAACAAAAUAAUUAUUUACAUUUUUCUCAAACAUAAAUAGAUUAUGGAACUUUUAAAAUAUCGGAUAUUACUCCAAAUCGGAGUGGGCCAAGAUGAUAAGUUUUGACAAAGAAAUUUUUUUUUUUUUUAAGGCUCAAAAUGGUUAACUAUGGAUUUUUCACAAAAGGGAUGGCUAGAAAGGCUCAAGCGGGUCAAAGAUGGCAUUUCCAUCGUCUUUUAGGGCUCUAAAUAAUCUUCCAUAUCUACUAGUUAGAUGGACCUCCAGAUGUAGUAACACACAUUUUUUUCUUCUUUUUUUUAUUUUUUAUCUUACAAAUUUUGUUUUUAGAGGGUUGACUCAAAAGAAAUCUAGAGAUCGUAUAUAAAAUAAUAAACUGCUAAAUUGUAUGAUGAAUAAGAAAAAUGGGUUACUAUCCAAGAAAAAUGACAGGCUUAAAAACUUACUUGGUAUUUAUUAUGACAUGUGCAUUCCUUCAAGCAACUCAUAUUUGUCUCCGACAUCAAUAUGUGGAGUAGCAAACAUAACGUAAUAUUACUUAAGACCAAAGAUAAUAUGAAUACUAAAAUUUAAAAAUCAUCAUAUUAUCCAAUGUUAAAAAAUAUCACACAACUUUUUUUUUUAAACGACAAUCUACCCCCCAACCUAUUCUAAACAUGAAAAGAAAAUAUGCAUGUAGAAAGGUGAAAAUGACGUAGAAAAGCUAAUUAGAAAAGUUAAACUUAAAAUGAUAGAAAAAGAAAAUGGGUUUUUUUUUUUAAACUAAGAAGAUGCGUUUCUAGAGGCACUACACUCUAUAUUCAGCCAUCUUCGACUCAAAAAUUUGAAAGUGUAUAUUUGUAAAGGAGAAAUUAGAAAGAAGAAGUUAAAAAAAAUGAUUGUCAAAACUUAAUAAAGAAAAAGAAAACGUCUAGAAUUUUUUUGUUUGAUUUUUUUUAAAGGAAAAAGAUGCGUUUCUAGAGUACCUACACUCCAUAUUCAGCCAUCUUCAACAAAAAAAGUUAGCCACGGUUAGUCUCUACAACAAAAAUUAGUAAAAACUUACAUAAGAUUCCACAAUUGUCAAUUAUUCCCUCCCCCCAACCAGAAUAAAACAUUGUCGUCCUCAAUAUUUUAAAGGAAAGAAGUGGAGUUUAGAAGACAUCACCUGGAUGGUGCAACACAGAAGAAAAUAUUUACAAGCAGAGAGUUAAAUCUAAUUUAUACUUCUUACUGCAGCUACUGUUACCACCAUUAUUUGGAGACUCCAACACAAAGGUCCUGGGGUCUGGCUCUGGUCUAUAAGCUUGUAAUAGAUCAAGUAGUUCAUUAGUAGUGUGAGCACAAAUAAAAAUUUUUUUCGCUGUGGAAUGAAUGAAAUAGUUUUUUAUUGCAUGGUUAAGAAAUGCGAUAAAGUCAUCAUAAAAGUUAUUGACAUUUAACAAACCGAUGAGUUUAUGGUGAAUGUGCAGAUGGGCCCAAGAUGCUAAUGUGAUAAGUGCCUCUAGAGUUGCAAGAUCUCCUGGAAGGAAAAUAAAAGUAUCAGUAUGAUUAAGCAUUUCAGUUAUUCUUUCUUGCAUACCUGAGACGACUAACUCUUCUCCAGUCGAUGAGUCUGACAAACUGUCCAAAUGUUUUAGGGCUCUUGGGAUGAUGCCUAACACUUGGCUUUCUCUGACAAAAGCAGCUUCUGAGACCAAUUUUGAUAACCCUCGAUUACCUCCUCCAUACACCAAGUGUAAUUUUCUCUCUGCUAUGCUUCGACCAAGAUCUAUGGCUGCCUCAACGAAUUCUUUAUGUUUGCCAUAGUUAAAUCCAGAAAGCACACAAAUAUUUUUGAAUUGUUUAUUUGAAGUAGCUGCCAUUGGGAUGUUUUCAAAAACAAUUUGUGAAUGCAAAACAAAUCAUAUUUAAGAAUCUUGGUGAUAGUGGGUCACAGAUGUGUAUAAGGUAACAUGUUUGUGUCAAUUAACGCGUAAAACACAUGGCUCGAGAGUAAAAAAGGAAACAGUAAAAAGGAAAAGAAACAAUGAUAAAAUAAAAUUAUUAAAAAUAAUAAUGCAAAUGAUAAAACAACAGUAAAAUAAAAUAACAGUGAAGUAAAACGAUAUGUACAAGUAGUUGUAACUGUGGCUCACAUUUUCCUCUAGUUUUACGUUCAGAAACGGCUUAAACGCCCUCUAUGGGUCGAGAAUAGGCUUCUCAUCCAGUUUUCUUAUAAACUGGCAAACAUGGUCGUUUAUAGUCAGAUUCCCAAGACUAUAUCGUGCAUGCUCUUUCUGGAAUAAUGGUCAUAACUGGAGAAUCGCUCCUUGUACAUAUCCACUGAGAUGUGUUUCAAGAGACAAAAUGAUAUCAUCCAAUGACUCCUUAUUCAAGCCAUCCCUAAUGAAUUAAAUACAAGUAGAAAUAAAAGUUUGAAACUAUAUCAAAUAUGUAUAAAAUUGGAAACUAUGUCCAAUUUUAUAGAUAUAACAUAUAUGUCUAAUAAUAUAAUAAUAUCUUUUUUUUUCUUUUUGGCUUGAUCCAUAUCAAGAAAAAUAAUUUUUCUUAAUUAAUAUGUGCAGUAAACAAAUACUAUGAUAAAAAUUUUAAAAAAAAUUAUAAAUGCACUGGAUGAAUAUAGAAUUUAUGUUUAUACCAAUUUAAUAAAAUUUAUUCCAAUUAUUUUCAAUUCAAUUUUUUAUUUUCAAUGAUGAGAACUUUUUCUUUGCUUAAUAAAUUAAAUAAAUAAACUAUUUUUUUUAAUUAAAGUUUAAUGUUAAUUUACAAAUUUUAUGUUAUUUUUAUAAGAAUUUACAAAUUUUAUGUUAUUUUUAUAAGUGUUUGUUUUGUUUGUAAUUCUAAAACACCAAUUUAACACUCUUACAUUAAUUUAUUUAUUUAUUCUACUUUUUAACUAUUUAUAUAUAUAAUUUAUAAAAUUUAUAUUUAUCACGAUAUUAAUGUUGUAAUUUUAAUCAUGUUAUUAUAAAAUUUUCAUAUAAUCUUUAUAUACUAAAUAAAUUACUUAAUAUGGGGACCAUGUGGAUAUAGAAUUAUUAUCUGAACUGUGCUGAAUACGAAUAAUUCAUAUUUGGCAAGUACGUUGCUCUCAAUUAUUCGGAUAGAGACUGGAGAGUGACAUGUUCAUAAUUUUCUUCACAUCAAUCACAAAUGUCUCAAUAAUGGGAGGGCCUAACUUAGCGCCUACCCUCAAUAAUUUAUUCUAUAACAUUUCUCUUUGCGUUCAUUACGUCGGCUCCUCAUUACUCGUCAUUAUGGCUUGGAUUAACUUUUGAAUGGGCCUAGAUAUGUGUGUCUCAACUAAUCAACAAGUACUAUCACCAGUAACAUUAGUGCUGCCAAUUUUCCAAGUUUGAAAUAUGACGUUUUAGCUGCCAGUUUUGACAAUUUAGUAUAUAAGCUUACAACUAUUUUGUCUUUUUACACUUUCCAAUUGUAAUAGUAGUAUCAAAGGAAUUGUAACUGUAUUCUACUUAAAUUUAUCUGUUGACAUUUUUUUCUUUCACCUUGAAACAACUGAAAGCCUCCAAGUCUUGAUAGCUAAAGGUGGCCAAAGGGUUGUGUCGGCAUAAACAAAAACCGUGAGGGCGGUACGUUGGUGGGUGAUGCCGUGCCGUACCCAAUUAUUUUUUGUUAAGCUCAGCACGGCUCACGAGUCCACGCGUGUCAUGUUUGGGCCAUACCAAAAAAAGCCUGUCAAAUUUUUGUAUCCUUCAAGCCCACGUGCCACGUGUUUUUUUAAACCCACAUAUUUGGCAUGGUUUUUUAAGCACAUGUAUCUAGCAGGCUUUUUCAAGCUCAUCAGCCCAUUUAAUAAUAAUAACAAUAAUAAUAAUAAUAAUAAUAAUAAUUUUUAUUAACUAUUAAGAGAACAAUUAACAUUUUAUUAUCAGUUUAUCAUAAUUUUGUAACUAUAUAUUUAAAUAUUUAAUUUCACAAUUACCAAUUCAAUUAUAAUACAACAAUAUUAUUUGAACUGCACUGAAGUAAAUUACAACUAAUUUUAUUUGAACUAUUACUAUUAUAAUUGGACUUGAACUCCAUUGAAUGAAAUACAACUUUUUAUUUUAUGUUUUGUGUAUAAAUAAAAAUAAAUAAAAUAUUUCGUUCAUAAUUUUAUUUUUUUGUUAAUAAAUAUGAAAAAUAUUUUAUUCACAAAUCACAAAUGAAACAUAUAUCCAAUAACUAAGUUACGAUUUCAUAAAUGAAAUAUUAAUUGUCAUAAAAUUUUGAUAUAUGAUUUAUAAAAUCGUGAUAUUUAUAAUUUUAUUUAUUAAAAUUAUGAUAUUUAUUUAUUCAUUUAAUAAAUGAUAAAUAAAAAAUAAUUAGAAUUUUUUUAAAUCUAAGACUUAAAUUAAUUUAAUAAAAUAUAUUAAAAAUUUAAUUUUAAAGUAUUUGUAAAAUCAUAACAUUUAUUUUUACUUUUUAUUAAAAAAUUUACUUUAAUAUACUUUGUCUCACAUGCUAUUGAUGGCUCACGGGCCGUGUGCUAGCCCACCAAUGAAACAUACUUAUUACGUGUCUUUUUACGUGUCCUGCUUUUAAGGCGCACGUACCUAAAAAUUUAAGCCCUACCCGACUAUAUGCGUGUCAUGUUGUGCCGUGUGCCUUAUCGAAACGUGCUCGUGCCAUACCAUAUUGUAUGAACAUAUACUGUACUGUACGGACACAUACCAUGCCACGUACUGCCCGGCCCGUUCGCCACCUUUAUUGAUAGCACAACGUUACUUUUCUUAUUAUUUAUACCAAUUCAAUUCUAAAAAGGACAAAAAAAACUUACUCAAUAUAAAGAAAUUAGGCAACUGCUAUCAAAUUUUACACCUACUACCACUCGAGAAAUUUUAGUGGUAGCAGCCAUGGACUUUCUCGGUUCGUCUCAAACAAGUACUGUCGCAGCAAUUUUAAUCACUUUUUUAAUCAUUCUAUACACCUCGUUGUUAGUUUGACGAAAUUUGCUUAGAAAAUACACAAGCAAUAAAAAGAGGGGAGCACCAGAAGCUGAGGGAGCAUGGCCUGUGGUUGGCCAUCUACACCUCUUAGGAGGGCCAGAACCUCCUCACAGGGUGUUGGGCUGCAUGGCUGACAAGUAUGGACCAAUCUUCACAAUCAAGAUGGGCAUAAAUCGAGCAUUAGUUGUGAGUAAUUGGGAGAUGGCUAAAGAGUGUCUUACU